rnacentral:lncRNA from 1 species
GUGAAUCAAGACCCAAACCUUUAGUGUCUCUUUCAUACCUUUCAUACUAUUGAAUGAGGGACCCAAGUGACAUUGGAGUGUUUAUUGCUUGAUACACAUGCUUAGGAUGGUAUCACGGUAGAAAAGAGGUGGAAAAUUUUGGAUUUGCUAAAGAUGCAACAUUAACAAAUCACUGAAAGCUGUUAUAAAAUAUCUCUGUCCUCUCUUUAGAGAGGGUCCUGCUACUUUUCUGGUUUAAAAUGAAUUGUAGGCAUGGAUUUAUAGUUCCUUGCUAUCCCAAGCUAGCUUAUAUUCUUAAACCAGUUGACAUCAAAUCAAAGAUUUCUGGAGCUAUUGAAAGCAACUUUGUUGCAUGCUUUGUAGUUUAGACUUUAAUACCUUUCGGUAAGGCUGCUGGAUCCUUCUUUAUUUCUUCUUGGACUUCUCAGUCAAUGAAACAGAAAGCCCUGAGACUGUGAAACAGCCUGGAAAUGUUUUCUCUUCCAUCAAGAAACACAACAUGUCCUUUCAAAGCUUAAUUGAGCAGCACAAAGCUAAUUAGCUGUCCGAAGACAUGCCAUUUAAUUCACAAUCCAGCAUUAAUUUGUUCUACAGACUGAGCUUAUCUCAUAUAUAAAUGCCUUUGCCCUGUGGCUUUCCAAACAGCUGCAAUACACAAAAAAGACUGAUAACUCUGUCAUUUGAAUGUUGCUUGCUUCCUUCACUUGUGCAUAAAAUACCAAACUGCAUGUGAAUUGUAACUGGAAAGUUUUCACUGUCACAAUGAAAAAAUAAUUUGUAUUUUUAUUCCCUUCUAGCUGGGAAUAAUGUUAUCGCUCUGGGAUGCAAAAGCCAUCAUUUGAGAUGCAGGAGACCACUACACAAGUUGAGGUGCUGGUUGACAAGAGGGAAGAGAAAGGUGUCUCCUCUUCUAAACAACAGAGGUGAUGGUCCAGUUGCCAGCUGGCAGGAGUGCUGGUGGAAAGGAGGAUUUCUACCUGGCUGGAAGGUAAAGGACGAAAUUUCACCUUCCCUGAAUAACAGCUGGGAAGGUGAUCAGUCCAUCUGCUGAUCAGUUUCCCUGGAAGCAUGCUUUCCUGCUCAUAAAUGUUGAUGUUGUUGGUGUAUUCAGCUGCUGGUCUCCCUUUGCCACUGCUGAGACUGCAGCAGCUCCUACUGUGAGGCCUGGGGUGAGUAGCUGGGAAAGGACUUUGCUGCUGGGUAAAAGUCCUUCAAAGCAGUUGUACACACUGUAUACUUUGUCUUGUUUUACAAAAAUGAGAUGAGAAAAUGUCAGAAUAUCACAAAGUCUUGAUAUAUUACAAAAAAGAGCACUUGUCACUUUGAGGCAUUAAAGUUUGAAAGUGGAUUAAAUUAUGCACUAAGGUCCCCUAGCUGGGAAGAAAAUGAGUCUGUGAAACUGGUCUGUGCCAAGGCAGAGAGCUGAAAGAUAACCCGACU